ensembl:rRNA 5S_rRNA 5S ribosomal RNA
GUCUAUGGCCAUACCACCCUGAACGCACCCAGUCUCGUCUGAUCUCAGAAGCUAAGCAGGGUCGGGCCUGGUUAGUAUUUGGAUGGGAGAAGUGGGGUCUCUUCUUCUCUAUAGGGAUCAUGCAGUGUUGUGGUAA